rnacentral:lncRNA from 1 species
GAAGCGUGAUUCUGCUGAGUGUCAGUGUGACCACUCGUGCUCAGCCGUAUCUCAGCAGGAGGACAGGUGCCGGAGCAGCUCGUGCAGCUAAGCAGCCAACUGCAGAAACGUCAGGUGGGUGGUGCAUUCGCAGGCAUGCUGAAGAAGCAGUUCCAGGCAUGGGCCGCCGGCAGAGAGGCUGGCUGCAGCACCCCCCACCACCAUGCACAUCGUCCUUUGCUUCUUCCUAGAGUUAGCGGCUUUGGCAGGCCAUGCCUUGUUUGUGUUCACAGCCUGCCUGUCAGGAGCGAAGACAGAACGUCUGACUUUUGGAUCCGUAACAGGGGUGGGGGCUCCCCAGAAGAGAAGAGGCUUUGGGUCCUGGCCAGUGUCCACUACUCAGUC